UUUACACAACAAGAAAUCUGGGGAAUGCACAAUUUUAUAAAGAAGAAGUCGUAAGCGUGCGAGAGCGGGCGGCGGCGGCGGCGGCGGCGUAUGACUCUGCGCCGCGUUGUUUUUUCGUUUGCUGUUGAAUAUGUAUUUAUUAUCACGAAUUAACCAAAAAUGUUUUGUAAUAAUAAUAGCUUUAAGAAGUUGUAACAAUUGUAAAAUAUUUACGAACAGUCCCUAGAUAAGCGCCACGUGCUUACAAUACCUGAAUGAUAUGUCACUCGCGCCACUCGGCACUCGCCUGUACGUACGUGUGCAGGUGGAAUUAGGCUAUAGAACGAAAACAGGUAGAUAAUACACAUGUUGAAACUAAUAACUAUUUACAAAAUUACUUCCGAGUGCAGUUGAGCAACGAAAAAUGCUAAGGGUCCUGUUGUCAACAUGCCCGUACCAUACUGUACUUACUGAUUAGAGCAGAAGGGCCACGUGAUGGGUAUUCGCUCGCACGGUCUAACUCCACCUUCAUAACAUACUUGCACAUAUAUUUUCGUUUACAAUGUACCAUAUUUGUGCAUCUUGUACAUUAUUGAUUACAUAGAGAUUUAUUAUUUGUUUUAUUUUUUUUUAUAUUUGUAUGUAUCUUUCAAUUAU
rnacentral:lncRNA from 1 species